CUGCUUGAUGGACUGCGGGAGUUAUCGUGCCUCGCGUCGCUGGCUCUCGGGGGCGCGCUCGUCGAGUUGGACCGAGU
rnacentral:rRNA from 1 species